rnacentral:piRNA from 1 species
AGAAAGAUCUGAGUAGGUACCCUACA